UGGGCACGAUCACGGCCAUAUUCACCACCUCCUGGGACCCCUCGACCCGCUGCAGCAGGAUGGGCUUGCGGGUCAGCGGCUUGGGCUGGAUCUCCGCCGCCAUCGGAGGAGGGGGCGCGCCGGGCGCCGCCGCCGCCAACCGCACCGCGGAGCUGGGCUGAGGAGACCGCUCAGGCACGGGCACAAGCUGAGACAGGGACUCUGGUUGGCCGGAGCGGGACGCCGGGGACCCGCGCUCAUAGCCUGGCCGCGCUCCGGGAACGACUCCGCGCUCCCGGCUUCGGGCACCGAAACCACCACGACCCGGGUUGCAAGCCGGCGCCACCACCGGAGGAGGGGGCGGAGAGCUGGGGGGGCGGAGCCGGUAGGGGGCGGGGCCUGCCGCAGGGGGUGGCCGCUGGUGGGCGCGAGGGCGGCGGCACUUCCGGAAGAGUGGUGGAGGAGGUGAGGAAACCUAAAAAAGGAGGCGGGACGUUGGCGGCCCAAUACGCGUGCGCCAGCCCACCAGCCCAUUUCCGCCCCACCCCUACUGAAUUCCCGAAGCCUCGCAGCACCGCCCCUGGAACGCAUGCGCCUUCCAUUAUCUGCGGUCUCCUAGACUCGCCACCUUCCACCUCCAAUCUGUAGUCCCCUCCCUUUCUAAUCUCCCGUGAACGCGCUUGCCAGAGGCCCCGCCCCCUCCAAAAUUUAUAAAAAGGGGGCGGAGUGGAGCGGGGGAAAAGUGGGCCUGGACGAGGCCGGAAAGAGAAGAAGCUUGCAGGAAGGAAAGAAGCUGAACUAGUUGGGACGUGACUGGGCGUUCGUAAGGGUUACCUGUUCUGAGCUUCCAUAACAAUGAGCCUGCCGCGACGGGAGGCCAUUUACUGCUCCCAGCAUGCACCAGGCCCAGGCUGCCGAGUGGCACCCCAAGGGCUCCUGGGAGUUGUAGUUUUUCGGAGCCUCAUCUCCCUUCUGGAAUAACCUAUUGCCCACUUCUCAGCGCUCCUGAACUGGGGAGCCCGGCACCGACCCAGGCAAUUAACUGAGUCGCGGCCCGGACUGAUCUCUAAGGAGGAAAUUGAAGAGCAUCCCAGGGCUGAGCAGGUGGUUAAGAUUGUUUCCUAUAAUAGUAGAGCCCGAGGGUGGGGAAAGAAGAGAAUCUCUCGUAUACGCAUUUUUGAGGGAGUUUAGAGAUCAUCUGCAGUAUCAUCUAACUGGUUUUUCUUAAAUGACUAAGUUACU
rnacentral:lncRNA from 1 species